ACUGGGUGUGGUGUCACACGCCUGUAAUCCCAACAGCCUGGGAGGCUGAGGCAGGAGGAUAGCAAGUUCAAAGCCAGCCUCAGCAAAAGCAAGGCCCUAAGCAACUCAGUGAGACCCUGUCUCUA
rnacentral:sRNA from 1 species